rnacentral:lncRNA from 1 species
AUUUGAUAUUAGGUUAGUAGGGAGGCGGGGCGUAUUUCAUACACGGUUAGCAGUGGUGUUACGUCCCUUUAUAUUCCAUAUUAGGUAAAAGGAAGGCGGGGCUUAUUUCAUACACGGUUAGUAGUGGUGUAACUUCCCUUUGUUGUAUGUCUUGCUAUUUAGAGUUGUCAUAUAAUAAUAAUAUCUUUAAGACCAUACUUGAAACUGUACAUGUGUGUAAUCCUGCUUGAUUGUUUUCUGUCUUUAUGUCAAAAAUAAACAAAUUACAAAAAAAAAAACU